AGUGAACGCUGGCGGCGUGCCUAAUACAUGCAAGUCGAACGGAAUUUAAAAGAGCUUGCUCUUUUAAAUUUAGUGGCGCACGGGUGAGUAAUAUAUAGCUAAUCUGCCCCUUGCUGGAGGACAACAGUUAGAAAUGACUGCUAAUACUCCAUACUCCUUUUUACCAUAAGAUAAAUCGGGAAAGAAUUUCGGCAAGGGAUGAGACUAUAUCGUAUCAGCUAGUCGGUGGGGUAACGGCCUACCGAGGCUAUGACGCGUAACUGGUCUGAGAGGAUGAUCAGUCACAUUGGAACUGAGACACGGUCCAAACUCCUACGGGAGGCAGCAGUAGGGAAUAUUGCGCAAUGGGGGAAACCCUGACGCAGCAACGCCGCGUGGAGGAUGACACUUUUCGGAGCGUAAACUCCUUUUGUUAGGGAAGAAUAAUGACGGUACCUAACGAAUAAGCACCGGCUAACUCCGUGCCAGCAGCCGCGGUAAUACGGAGGGUGCAAGCGUUACUCGGAAUCACUGGGCGUAAAGGACGCGUAGGCGGAUUAUCAAGUCUCUUGUGAAAUCUAACGGCUCAACCGUUAAACUGCUUGGGAAACUGAUAAUCCAGAGUAAGGGAGAGGCAGAUGGAAUUCUUGGUGUAGGGGUAAAAUCCGUAGAUAUCAAGAAGAAUACCUAUUGCGAAGGCGAUCUGCUGGAACUUAACUGACGCUAAUGCGUGAAAGCGUGGGGAGCAAACAGG
rnacentral:rRNA from 1 species